GUACACGCUGUGACUAGCAUAUCAAUAAGCGGAGGAAAAGAAACUAACAAGGAUUCCCUUAGUAACGGCGAGUGAAGCGGGAAGAGCUCAAAUUUGAAAUCUUCAAGGUUUUACCUUGACGAAUUGUAGUUUAAAGAAGUGUUUUCUGCUGAAGUUUUGGUAAAAGUUCUUUGGAAUAGGACAUCAUAGAGGGUGAGAAUCCCGUAUUUGACCAUUAUUUUCAGCCUUGUGAUACACUUUCAAAGAGUCGGAUUGUUUGGGAAUGCAGUCCCAAAACUGGGUAGGUAAAUUUCAUUCUAAAGCUAAAUAUUGGCGAGAGACCGAUAGCGAACAAGUACCGUGAGGGAAAGAUGAAAAGAACUUUGAAAAGAGAGUUAAAUAGUACGUGAAAUUGUCAAAAGGGAAGCGUUUAACACCAGUGUUGUUUUCUGAAAAUCAACCUCUGUUAGCUUUAUGCAUGUUUGUUUAGACCUAAUCAGCUAUCUUGCAUGUUCUAUUGUUUGCAGUGGUGCACUUUUCAGUUUACAGGUCAACAUCAGUUUUUUUUACCGUAAAAAAGUUAAAGAAAGGUAGCUCAUGGCUCCGGUCGUGAGUGUUAUAGUCUUUUUCCUAUGCGGUAGGAGAGACUGAGGUCUGCAGUGUAGGCUAUUUGGCUAGAUACUCAGGUGCUAUGUGAUACCAUUUCAUAAACAACUUGUUGAUUAUGUUUUGUCUAUUGCAUACUCGCUUGUACUAUCAUACCUACGCUUAGGAUGUUGACGCAUGAGAUAUACGC
rnacentral:rRNA from 1 species